rnacentral:tRNA from 4 species
GGAGAUGUGGCCGAGUGGUCGAAGGCACGCCCCUGCUAAGGGCGCAGGCCCGAAAGGGUCUCGAGGGUUCGAAUCCCUUCGUCUCCGCCA